UUGAAUGUUUAGUGAUUGUUGAGGUGUUGUAUUUAAAAAUAAUUAAAUAAAGUCUGAAAGAAUGUAUUGAUUUUAAAAGAUGAAUAUUAAUUAUCACAAUUGAUUAGUAAUAAUGAGCAAUAUGUUGUCUAUAUACGACAGUUGUGAAGGACUUGAUAUUGGGAAUUCGGUGGGAAGUCACAGAGUGUUAUUCGUACAAGAUUGGAAUGCAGGAUGGCCUUACUGUUGAAAAAAGAUUCCAAAGGGGUAAUGUAGAUGCUCUAACCGGUUCCCAAUUGCACGGUCUCAAAGACUGGCACCUCGUAAAUUUUCUCAAGUAUUUCUUUUCUUUAUACUUCCUCAUUUUGUAUUUAUUUAUUUUAAAUGAAAAAAAUUUCAAUGCAAACAAAGAAAACACUUAUAAUCAUUCAUCACAUUGCUGGUUGCAAUUUCGUGGUAUUGAAUCAAAUUGAUGUUGGGAUACAUUUUAUUUUGAAAACAUUAUGUGAACAAGUUUUUUGUUUUGUUUUCAAAAACAUUUACAGUUAACACAUUUUUAUGAAUAAGUUUAAAAACUCUAGUGUCUUUUAAAAUCCUUGGAAAAUUAAACAUCUAGAGCGGCAUCAUUGUGAGUCUUCUUCGAACCUCAUGCAACAUUUACUUUACCAGUAUAUGCACGCGUCAAAGCCACUAAUGAACUUUUUUUACUGAUCGUUAUUGGAAACUAUGCUUUUUAUUCUUCAGACUCACAUAAUAUUUAUGAAGAUGUUCUCUGAUGAUUAAAUAAUUUUUUACUUACUCAAACAUCGAUGAAAUUUACUCCAACAAGGGUAAUGACACUAGGAUAGGAGGAUCCUUUGGAGAAAUUCAGCAACACCAAAUAUAUGUCUACGAAGAGGCACUGGAGACUGAGGGGUAGCUAAAAUACUUGGUUCUAGUUUGAAUGACUUAGUGGUUCGGUAGAGGCUUUCUCUUCAUUGAUAUCUAAUUUAUCAACAUCAACUGUGUUGAGUAACAGUGUAUGAGGGAAAAACCUUAAGCUUCUAAGCAAGUUAUUUCUUUCAUCAUUAUAGAAUGAGCACUGCAUCAAUACGUGCUUAUCAGUUUCUUCAUCUGGAUUACAAUCAAAUUAAGACAACACUUUUUUUUUAUUUACUGGAAUCUGUCUUAUUUAAUAAUUAUUUAGUAAUGAUAGAUGUUGUCAUGUCUGUUGAAUGUAUCUUAAAGAAUAAUUCGAGUAAAUAUUUGACAUGAUGAAUGGAAUAUUGAAGAAGGUGAUGGAUCUAGCAGAUUCGCGACAGCGUGAAAUCCUGAGUAGCCAAGUCUAUUCACUUAGACUGAUAGUUCUCAUUUCUUUUGAGGAUCCCAGGUGCCGGGAAACGACUGUCGAAAUCUAUCAGAGGUUGUAUCACCUGCACGUAAGCCACUUGCAGUGCUCAAUUACACGCUAGAAUGAUGACGAAAAAAAAGAAGGGACAGGAAAAAUGAAAGAAACCCAUUUUACUGAUCUACAGACUUUAGUGGGAUACAUUUUUAAGUAUGGGUAUCAUUUGCUCAGACCUUUUUACUUCUUACAUCUCAACACUUGUUGCUUUCAGGCAUACAUCCGGAACACACACUGAAUAUUACAAAGAUAAAGAGACUUGUUCAAACAUAUUCAUGUUACUCUUACUGAAAUUUUUAAUUUUUUAUUAUCAUCUUGGGAAUGUCAAUUAAUUCUCGACACUAAAAAAUGAUAUUUAUCUUUCAUUUUGUGUAUUUAAAUGGAAUUUUUACAAUUAAUAGUGUAUAAUACAAGUAAAAGCUUAGAGCAUUUGAGUAAAUAGACCUAUUGAUGGAUAAAUUUAUUUUGUAAUGUUUAUGUAUAUAAAGCAAGUCGAGGAACAUAUUGUUAUCCACAUGAGAAUUUUUUUUAUCCAUAAUAU